UAUGGUGACUAUAGCGUGAGGGCUCACCUCUUCCCAUUCCGAACAGAGAAGUUAAGCCUCACAGCGCCGAUGGUACUGCCCGAAAGGGUGGGAGAGUAGGUCGUCGCCAACC
rnacentral:rRNA from 1 species